rnacentral:rRNA from 1 species
GACGAACGCUGGCGGCGUGCUUAACACAUGCAAGUCGAGCGGUAAGGCCCUUUCGGGGGUACACGAGCGGCGAACGGGUGAGUAACACGUGGGUGACCUGCCCUCAGCUCUGGGAUAAGCCUGGGAAACCGGUCUAAUACUGGAUAUGACUCCAUGACGCAUGUUGUGGGGUGGAAAGCCUUGUGCGGCUGAGGAUGGGCCCGCGGCCUAUCAGCUUGUUGGUGGGGUGANGGCCUACCAAGGCGACGACGGGUAGCCGGCCUGAGAGGGCGACCGGCCACACUGGGACUGAGACACGGCCCAGACUCCUACGGGAGGCAGCAGUGGGGAAUCUUGCGCAAUGGGCGAAAGCCUGACGCAGCGACGCCGCGUGAGGGAUGACGCCU